UCCGACUUCCUUCCCCGCUCCUCCCUCACCCUCCUUGCUGUCCCCAACUCUUUCCUCUCCUCCACCUCCUACCCCAGGAUUUUCUGUUUAAGUGAUAAGUGAGAGUCACGACCUAGGCGGGUACCUAGUGUUGGGUUUUUACGGCUCAAAAUUAGGAUGGUGCAAAGAAUUAGGUUUGUGUUACCUAUUUGGUUUUGGUGUCCUAUUUGGGUUUGAAUUUUGACUUCUUAGUUGGUUUCCUUGGUGGAGAGAUUUUGUUAAUUACCUAUUUGAUUAGGAUUUGGAUUUACUUCCUAUUAGGAUUCUUAUUGUAACCUAAGUCCUAUGCACUAUAAAUAGGACGUUAGGGUUAGUGUAUUUUGUGUGGCUCAUUUGUGUGGCAAUUUGGUGAGAGUCAAUUUGUGAGUUUGUGAGUUAGAGAGCAAUUUGGGAGAAUCUUCUCCGUUUGUUUGAGUUCUCUACUCGUUUGGUUUAGGGUUUGUAAUUUGUGGGAUUUGGGUUGUGAGAGUUUAAACACUCUUUUGUAAUCUCCAUUUGUUUAGUGAAAUUCCUCGCAGUGCUUUGCCCGUGGACGUAGGCUUUACGUUGAACCACGUAAAUCUCGUGUUAGUUUAAGAUUGUUUGUUUUGCUUUCGCCUACGACGUUAAUAUUUGUACUUUGUUAUAAUUCACUUCCGUUUAUGCAUAAAAGUACAAGUGGUAUCAGAGCCCAGGUUUCGGCUUGGGCUUUGGUUGGCAGUCACUAUGAAGCCUUCUGUGUCGUCGGUGAAAGUUGAUAUUGAAAAGUUCGACGGCAAUGACUUUGGUAUUUGACAAUUGAAGAUGCGUGCUUUGGUAGUUCAAGGAAGGAAUAAGGAAAGGAGCAAACUUGGAAAGAACACUUACAGCUAUUGUUACAAGGAAGGCCAUUGGAAAGUAAAUUGCCCUAAACUCAAGGGCAAAAAGAAGUCGUUUGAUAAGUCUUUUGCUAGUGUUGAUGCAAACAUUGCAGAAAAUCGUUGUUUUGAACUCCUCUAAAGGUUAUGUGAAGAGGUGGAGCUUGGUACUCAAGCUCUUUGGGUGGAGUGCAAUUCGCACUUUUUGUUCAUAUGUUCAAGCUUUUGCUUGGAUUUUGUUUCGUAUUUGAUAGUUUCCAUAAUGGAAUUUGUUGGGGAAGGCGUUGGAGGAAAUUUCAAGUUUGAAGACUUUUGGAUUUUUUGAGUCAAGUUGGAGAUCAGUUUCAAAGGAAUUUGGUGCACGUUUGUGUAUGUAUUUUGGUAUCCCAAAUUUGAAGUUUGUAUUUGAUAUGGAAGUUUGCUAAUUUCUCGCCAAGGUGGAGAUUGUUGGGUUUUUACGGCUCAAAAUUAGGAUGGUGCAAAGAAUUAGGUUUGUGUUACCUAUUUGGUUUUGGUGUCCUAUUUGGGUUUGAAUUUUGACUUCUUAGUUGGUUUCCUUGGUGGAGAGAUUUUGUUAAUUACCUAUUUGAUUAGGAUUUGGAUUUACUUCCUAUUAGGAUUCUUAUUGUAAUCUAAGUCCUAUGCACUAUAAAUAGGACGUUAGGGUUAGUGUAUUUUGUGUGGCUCAUUCGUGUGGCAAUUUGGUGAGAGUCAAUUUGUGAGUUUGUGAGUUAGAGAGCAAUUUGGGAGAAUCUUCUCCGUUUGUUUGAGUUCUCUACUCGUUUGGUUUAGGGUUUGUAAUUUGUGGGAUUUGGGUUGUGAGAGUUUAAACACUCUUUUGUAAUCUCCGUUUGUUUAGUGAAAUUCCUCGCAGUGCAUCACCCGUGGACGUAGGCUUUACGCCAAACCACGUAAAUCUCGUGUUAGUUUGAGAUUGUUUGUUUUAGCUUUCGCCUACGACGUUGAUAUUGGUACUUUGUUAUAAUUCGCUUCCGUUUAUGCAUAAAAGUACAACACCUAGGCAAGUCUAGGUGGGCUAGGCGGGCGCCUAAGUGGGUCUAGGCGCACUUUCUUAAUUUUCAAACACCUAGGGACUAAUCGGAGUGGUGGACAGCCGUCUAGCGCUGGGAUUUUUAGAAUAGUGCUAAAAAGAUAUAUUUGAAAAUGAUUAAUAAGUUUUUCAUUUUUAAAAUUGGCAUAUAAUGACUUGUAAAUAAUUUAAUAUUCAAAUAAUGACAUGGAGAAAAGGCACAGGACCUUGAUCAAAAAUGAAAAAGGAAAAAGGUUUCAAUUAAUGAGAAAGAAAAAUGAGGGAUGGGAACCUAAUUUAUCCUUUAAUAAAAUACACUUCAUCAUAUGUAAACCAU
rnacentral:lncRNA from 1 species